CAGAUUGGAAGAGCAGGGACAAUGCAGCAAGGACAAGGUGAGCUGUCUUUUAAGGGCUAGCCCUUUGGUCUACCUUCGGCUGCGGCGGAGGAGCGAGUUUGGGGGCCGCGGUCUCCUUCGGAGUGUUCUCCUAGGGAACGGUCACGUGAAGAGGAGGAGGCCGCGCCGACGGGGGCGCUGGUGCCACUGCAGAGGGCCCCGUUCCCUCCACCGCCGCCGCUACCUCCGUCACCUCGCUCUGCGGCGGCGGUAGCGGCUCUCGAUGCGGAGGGAUAAGCGGAGGGAGGCGUAGUGUGAAAGGUUGCAAUGGAGCUGCAGUCGGCUAUUGUACCUCACGAACCCGCUUCAGCAUCCGGCGGAGGUCCUCAGUCGUGAACUUCGCAGAAGGUCUCCGUUAUUCAUGUAGGUAAGUACGGACUCCAAUUUACUCCUUUACGCUCCGAACCUUUCGGAUUCAUACGUCGACAUAGGAAAACAAUCAACGACUAUUGUAUAUCAAGACGGAGGCACAACAUGUUGACCACUUUCUAGUAAAAUUAUACUAAUUUAAUGAAUCAAAGUAUUGUAGAAACGUAACGAGGAGAACCUUGAUACAACAUAGAAUUAAGGACCUUCUUUCUAAUACGCCUUCUAGCAACUAAGUGAUCUAAACCGACAACUAGUCGACGAGGUGGAGGGCAUCAAGUACGUAUGAUAGUCAUCGAAGAUGAGGGAGGCAAGGGUUUAUUAACAGAAAGAUCGGUAGAGUUUACUUGAUGUUGUAUGCCUACAUACAUCUGUACAAAAUCUCACAUCUAAGUGAGUAAAACGAGGCAUACAUCAGUGAACAACUUUAGAGAUCUUUCUGUUAAUAAAUCCUUGCCUCCCUCAUGUUCCAUUGAUGGUGAAUGUACACAAGAACCGAGUGAACGAAAAUCAAAAAACAGAUUGUACAUGUCUAUACGUUCUCCUUCACGAAGUCACGUAUAAAGGUUUUUUCUUUGUUGUUAUAAAAAAUCGUUUUACUAUUCAAAAGUAAUAGGAUAAUGACUAAUAAGAAAAAGGUUCAAAAACACACUAAAUCAUAGAUGAAACACUUGAUUUUGGUGCUACUCAUUUAGCCUUGUCUCCCUCAUCUUACGUACCUCAGUGACGUGUAUACGUACUAUUAUGGAAGAACGGUGGUAAUUGAAUAAACCUUUUAUAACUUACAAGAAUUAUGAGAUCUUGCCGGAGGAAUGGUUGAAUAUGACGUAUAUUCUUAAAAAAGCUUCAGUAUGAGAAUACUUGAAAUUGGUUCAAAUAUCUUUUAUAUACUUGUAAAUUACAUCAAUUGUCUACCAAGAAUAUACUGGAGUACUCAAACUGAACCGUAUACGGAAAUAAAUCCUACGGAACUUAUAAAUGAAAAGUGUAGUAAUUCUUUGUAGAGAUACCGCACGUCAUGAAUACCAACGUUUAAUUCACGACGUCCUUGAAGACUACUUUAAAUAUAAGUGGUUCAUCGACAGUGUAAACUUCUCCGUUGGUUGAUGACAUUUAGACUUCACCACACAUGUUCGUUGCCUCUUCAAAAGGAGAAGGUGACUGUACUGCUUUAAGAGGGUUGAGAAACUGAAAUAACAAGAAGGAAUACACAUAAACCCUAGUUCCUAUACAUAAACAACUCUUUAUUGAUAAACGUUGAGAAGGUAGGAAAUAGACGAACGUAUGGACACAGAGCCCAACACAAACACCUCACCCAGUAAGUUGGAUACCUGUGUUUACAACAAAAAGAGACAUUCUCCUUCUUUCUCGUUAUUUAUAUGAAAUAAAAAUAUUGGUAAUCGAAUAGA
rnacentral:rRNA from 1 species